GACGAACCGUACGAACGUUAUUCGGAAUUACUGGGCUUAAAGGGUGCGUAGGCUGCACGGAAAGUUGGGUGUGAAAGCCCUCAGCUCAACUGAGGAAUUGCAUCCAAAACUACCGUGCUUGAGGGAGACAGAGGUGAGCGGAACUCAAGGUGGAGCGGUGAAAUGCGUUGAUAUCUUGAGGAACACCGGUGGCGAAAGCGGCUCACUGGGUCUCUUCUGACGCUGAGGCACGAAAGCUAAGGUAGCAAACGGGAUUAGAUACCCCAGUAGUCC
rnacentral:rRNA from 1 species